rnacentral:rRNA from 1 species
UACAGGGGGUGCAAACGUUGCUCGGAAUUAUUGGGCGUAAAGCGCGCGUAGGCGGCUACUUAUGUCGGAUGUGAAAGCCCUUGGCUCAACUGAGGAAGUGCACCCGAAACUGAGUAGCUGGAGUACGAAAGAGGGUCGCGGAAUUCCCGGUGUAGAGGUGAAAUUCGUAGAUAUCGGGAGGAACACCGGUGGCGAAGGCGGCGACCUGGGUCGAUACUGACGCUGGAGCGCGAAAGCGUGGGGAGCAAACAGG